rnacentral:rRNA from 1 species
GACGAACGCUGGCGGCGUGCCUAACACAUGCAAGUCGAACGGGACUUAAUGGAAAGCGGCUUCGGCCAAUGGAAGUUAAGUUUAGUGGCGAACGGGUGAGUAACGCGUGAGGAACCUGCCUUCCAGUGGGGGACAACAGUUGGAAACGACUGCUAAUACCGCAUAACAUAAUCGAACCGCAUGAUUUGAUUAUCAAAGCUUUAUGUGCUGGAAGAUGGCCUCGCGUCUGAUUAGCUAGUUGGUGGGGUAACGGCCUACCAAGGCGACGAUCAGUAGCCGGUCUGAGAGGAUGAACGGCCACAUUGGGACUGAGAUACGGCCCAGACUCCUACGGGAGGCAGCAGUGGGGAAUAUUGGGCAAUGGGGGAAACCCUGACCCAGCAACGCCGCGUGAAGGAAGAAGGCCUUCGGGUUGUAAACUUCUUUUACCAGGGACGAACACAAUGACGGUACCUGGAGAAAAAGCAACGGCUAACUACGUG